CCUACGGGAGGCAGCAGUGAGGAAUAUUGGUCAAUGGACGAGAGUCUGAACCAGCCAAGUAGCGUGAAGGAUGACUGCCCUAUGGGUUGUAAACUUCUUUUAUAUGGGAAUAAAAUGUUUCACGUGUGGGAUUUUGUAUGUACCAUAUGAAUAAGGAUCGGCUAACUCCGUGCCAGCAGCCGCGGUAAUACGGAGGAUCCGAGCGUUAUCCGGAUUUAUUGGGUUUAAAGGGAGCGUAGGUGGAUUGUUAAGGCAGUUGUGAAAGUUUGCGGCUCAACCGUAAAAUUGCAGUUGAAACUGGCAGGCUUGAGUGCAGGAGAGGUGGGCGGAAUUCGUGGUGUAGCGGUGAAAUGCUUAGAUAUUAGGAGGAACACCAGUGGCGAAGGCGACUUACUGGACUGUAACUGACGUUGAGGCUCGAAAGCGUGGGGAGCAAACAGGAUUAGAUACCCGUGUAGUC
rnacentral:rRNA from 1 species